AUUGAACGCUGGCGGCAUGCCUUACACAUGCAAGUCGAACGGUAACAGGUCUUCGGAUGCUGACUAGUGGCGAACGGGGGCGUAAUACAUCGGAACGUGCCCGAUCGUGGGGGAUAACGGGGCGCAAGCUUUGCUAAUACCGCAUACGAUCUACGAAUGAAAGCGGGAGAGCUUCGGAGCUCGCGCGGGCGUAGCGGCCGAUGGCAGAUGAGGUAGUUGGUGGGAUAAAAGCUUACCAAGCCGACGAUCUGUAGCUGGUCUGAGAGGAUGAUCAGCCACACUGGGACUGAGACACGGCCCAGACUCCUACGGGAGGCAGCAGUGGGGAAUUUUGGACAAUGGGCGAAAGCCUGAUCCAGCCAUGCCGCGUGAAGGAUGAAGGCCUUCGGGUUGUAAAAUGCUUUUGUACGGAACGAAAAGCUUCUUACUAAUAAAGAGGGGUCAUGACGGUACCGUAAGAAUAAGCACCGGCUAACUACGUG
rnacentral:rRNA from 1 species